rnacentral:rRNA from 1 species
AGAGUUUGAUCCUGGCUCAGAUUGAACGCUGGCGGCAGGCCUAACACAUGCAAGUCGAGCGGUAACAUUUCUAGCUUGCUAGAAGAUGACGAGCGGCGGACGGGUGAGUAAUACUUGGGGAUCUGCCUGAUGGCGGGGGACAACCACUGGAAACGGUGGCUAAUACCGCAUAAUGCCUACGGGCCAAAGUGUGGGACCUUCGGGCCACAUGCCAUCAGAUGAACCCAAGCGAGAUUAGCUAGUUGGUGAGGUAACGGCUCACCAAGGCGACGAUCUCUAGCUGUUCUGAGAGGAUGAUCAGCCACACUGGGACUGAGACACGGCCCAGACUCCUACGGGAGGCAGCAGUGGGGAAUAUUGGACAAUGGGCGCAAGCCUGAUCCAGCCAUGCCGCGUGUGUGAAGAAGGCCUUCGGGUUGUAAAGCACUUUCAGUGGUGAGGAAGGCGUUGUAGUUAAUAGCUGCAACGAUUGACGUUAGCCACAGAAGAAGCACCGGCUAACUCCGUGCCAGCAGCCGCGGUAAUACCGGAGGGUGCGAGCGUUAAUCGGAAUUACUGGGCGUAAAGCGCACGUAGGCCGGCUUGUUAAGCAAGAUGUGAAAGCCCAGGGCUCAACCUUGGAAUUGCAUU